rnacentral:rRNA from 1 species
ACUCUGAUGCAGCGAUGCCGCGUGAGUGAAGAAGGCCCUUGGGUUGUAAAGCUCUUUYNUCGGGGAAGAAAAUGACUGUACCCGAAUAAGAAGGUCCGGCUAACUUCGUGCCAGCAGCCGCGGUAAUACGAAGGGACCUAGCGUAGUUCGGAAUUACUGGGCUUAAAGAGUUCGUAGGUGGUUGAAAAAGUUAGUGGUGAAAUCCCAGAGCUUAACUCUGGAACUGCCAUUAAAACUUUUCAGCUAGAGUAUGAUAGAGGAAAGCAGAAUUUCUAGUGUAGAGGUGAAAUUCGUAGAUAUUAGAAAGAAUACCAAUUGCGAAGGCAGCUUUCUGGAUCAUUACUGACACUGAGGAACGAAAGCAUGGGUAGCGAANAGGAUUAGAUACCCUCGUAGUCCAUGCCGUAAACGAUGUGUGUUAGACGUUGGAAAUUUAUUUUCAGUGUCGCAGGGAAACCGAUAAACACACCGCCUGGGGAGUACGACCGCAAGGUUAAAACUCAAAUGA